rnacentral:lncRNA from 1 species
AUUUUUUUUUUUUUGUGAUGUGGUCUUGUCAAAUAACUCUAAUGCACAGAGAUUUCGCACACCAUACAUACUAGGUUGUUGUCAGCAUGAAUUCUCCAUUUUGGGGUCAUGCAGUUCAUCUGUGGGGAUCUGUGCUAUGCUAUUGAUGAUUAGUAAACCUGUUGCAGCUUCCCAAACUCAGGUAUAGCAUGGCUGGCUUCAAGUGGUUUUUGUGUUUCUAUUCAUGAAAGAUGAAUCACAAGGCAAUAAGACCCUCACAGUUAAUGCUUGAGAGAUGAGUUAGUGGCACUGCCUCACAUUACGCCAUAUGAAUUCUUUUUAGACUCAUACUACGCCAAGAGAAAUUAAAUUUGCACAUCCUCAAGAGCAUAAGUUUUCUGUAUUAGAGCUGCGGGGUCGUCUGUUUUUUUCUGUAUUCGCAGCAUCCCCGCUUUUCUGUUAUUUAUAGUAAGUGAGACAGAACGGGCCAAAUCACUAAUAUGAGGCCUGAAAUCAUCUUAUGACCCAUAGGAGGCGAUGGAGACGAAACAGGUGGGGGAAGAGUGAAAAAUCAGACUGACAUGCAGGAAAAAUGCAUUUCUAUGUGGUUCACCCAUUCCUGUAUCCAUGGCCCGACUCAGUUCUCUUUAUUGAAGAAGUGAACAUUUUGGAGUAAGUGGCUUGGGUUGGGUUGGAAAGUCAUUGAUUCCCAUUAUCCUGCACUCCAGCAGGUAAACACCAAACAAUUUUACCAUCAGGUGGAAACCUUAGAUUGUCCUUUCAUUAAACUCUCCAAUAAAAGUACUCCAUACGUGCUGUGGCCCAUGAUCAUGACCUGUGUUCUGUCACCAGCCUAGAGUAUGAAAGGACAUUCUCCUGCCCGUAAUGCAGAGACAAAGGAGUACCCUCAUAGAUGAGGAACACGGAGCAGGUGGCGCUUGAUGUGCAACUUAGCUAUUGCUUAUUUUCUCACAUCUAUACUGGACUAUACUAGCUGGCAGUGUUGCAUUAAUUUCUUUAUUUUUCUGUUUCUUACAGAUUAUGAUAUGUGCUUUCUCUUUGCUUUCAUUCUUGUAGGGGUACUCAUCACUAGCCAUUGCUUUGGCCCUGCCUGAGUCAGGUCGCAUAGUUGCAUGUGACACCGAUGCGAAAUGCCUUGAAAUUGCGAAGAGAUACUAUGAGCGUGCCGGUGUUUCUCACAAGGUGAUGGGCUUUUUUUGUAGUUAUCAUCGUCGUGUUUUUGGUUGAUUUUAGUGAACUCAGUGGAUGGGAUCAUUUUCUUCCCAAACUUUGAAACCCUUUGGUUAAUUGUUUCCUCUUACAAGCUUUUAUAUCCGGUUCUCGGUUGAAAAUCUCGUGAACUUGAGUUUUCAUAGCCUAGAAAAUCACUGAAAGUUCAAUAAAAUUGUUUCGAAUUGUAUUUAUCGUCGUCCCUGGAAAUUUCAUUUUCUUUUUUUUUUCUUUCUGUUUUGGGGCAUUAGGUACCGAGUUUAGCAUCUAUAGGAGAGUGUUUGUUCCCUCCAGACCUGACUUUUAACCUCUUUGUGGAAAAUAUAUGAAUAAGGCCAAUAAAACCAUUAUUUUAUAGUGUAUGUAAAUAUACAUACACAUAAUUUUCAAGUGUCAUCAACUUCCAGACUCCUGAUUUUUUUUUGAACUGCCCGGACCAAAAGCUUACAGAGAAGAAAAAAGAAAGGAAAGAGCAUUGGUGUUGAUCCCCAAUGCAGUUUUUUUCCGUUUUUCUUUCUUUUGGGCCCAUCGAUAAUCAUCCCUACUAUACAAAGCGUGUUCCAAAUUGAGUCGAUGGUCGCACUAGAAUUACAUUGCCUUCUUUGGCAGGCCUGUUGACUGGCCAUCAUAUAUGGUAUCCUUUUCAAUUAUCUUUUGAUCCUAUUGGUCUAGGUGGAUGUGAGGCAUGGAAAUGCGGUCAAUACUUUAAGAGCCAUGAUUGAAAAUGGCGAAUCUUCCAGGUACGUUCAGGGAAAGCAUAAUAAUUUCACUCCAAAUUCUUCCCACAAGAAGAAAAUUAUUAUUUUCAGCAUCCUACGGUCUCUGUUCUAAAUUAUAUUGUCCAUGUUAUUGUCAUAUUUCUCUCCUUCACCAAAGCUCAUGCUUUAUGCUGCUCUACGCUCAACUCUCACGAGUUAUUGUUUCAUAUAACGGGGUAUAGCUGUUAAGCCACUUUAGCCGCAUCUAAGCAUUGGUUUCCAUUAGAGGAAAGGAGAGGUGAACUAAGAAGGAUGGAGUUUAGGAAUGAUGAGACGAUACUCCAUGGGAAGAGACGGAUGUGGAAGGUGCCAGAUGAUGACUUGUGUCUUUUUCUCCAUGUUUCUUCUUUAUUUGUCAUUUCUGCACAGCCUCCCUCCCUCUUCUCUCUACUAGGUGCCUUCUGAUAAGUAGAGAGAGGUGAGAGAAGGACAUAUCAUAGGAGAGACCAAUUUUCAAAGGUGAGGAGAGAGGUGGAGUGGGCAUUCUGGGCUUGGUCGAGGGUGUCUAGUGGAGGAUAGGAAUGAUACGUUGAUGGAUAGUGAGAGGGUGAGUUAUAGUGAUCUAGAGAUCAGAUGGAAGGAAUAAAUAGCCCUCUCAGGAGACAGUGUGACUACGACAGAGAUGAUGAGACCCGUUGUUGCUGGUCAACGGACUACUUAAGUUUAAAGAACCCUUUAGCAUAACCAACCUUUUUACUGCAUUUUAUUUCCAUUUCAAGUAAAAAUGGUUUGAUAUUCAAUUUCUAGCUGACCUACCUGAUUUCGAUCCUGAUCACAUCGGAUGUGCCCACUCUACUGGUCUGAUCUUAUUUGUGGCUCACCAUGGUUCAGAAGCUGGUCUAGUGGGAGGACCAAAACCUGGAAUAUUUCCUUUAAUUUCUCCAAACCAUGGACAUUAAUGGAUCAUUUCUCAGGAUUCCUAAAGUUUAUCAUCCAAAAAAGAUCUUGCUCCUUUUUUCCCCCCUUUUUUUGUGCUUUCUGAAGACUCCGUCGUUUUUAAGAUUCUCGUUUCUCGAUUCUCUGCACAGCCUGCUCAUGAUCAUUCUCCUGAUUGGCUUUAAAAAAAAAAAAUAACGUGGAACUCAGCAGCAUGAAUCGAUAUUAUCAUUUCUAUUUUUGGGCAUUUUCUGUAACCUUCCUCUUUUAAUUAUCUCACUAAUUGGGCCACAUUUUUGGCCUUAGUUACGACUUCGCGUUCAUCGAUGCGGACAAGAGAUCCUACGAUCAGUACUUUGAGUUGCUCCUCCAACUGGUACUUUCCUUGUCUGACCAUCUCGUGUCGUGGAAGCAGAAGCUUUGACCCCAAGCACUUCUAUUAAUGGAUACCUUGACAUCAUCCCCUCUGUUUCUUCUUUUUGCUCAUCAUCGGGCCAUCAUUUAUUAGCUGCCCAGAAGGCUGAACAAAUUUAUUGUGGGACUCCAAAGUUCAGCGUCGCAUAAUAAUCAAAACCUAAUAAUAAUAAUUUUUUCCUCCCGAUCGGCGCAGGUGAGGGUUGGGGGCGUCAUCGUGAUCGACAACGUCUUGUGGCAAGGGAGAGUGGCCGAUCUUCUGGUACUUUUCUGAACGCCCAUCUGAACUCCCUGGGAAAAAAAAGAAAGGGUUCUCCUGUUCUUGAGCAGCUUCUGCAUGCACCAUCGAUUCCUCCUGGGCAGGUGGACGACCCCAAGACGGUCAGCAUGAGGAGCUUCAAUAGCAAGAUUCUCAGAGACAGGCGGGUCAACAUCAGCAUGGUAAUUCCUUGUUCGUCCUCCUCUGUGUUCUUAGGGUUUUCCUGUGAGACCGGGCCCAAUGCUCUCUAUCCAUUUCUAAAUUAUUUUUUUUUUAAUUCUUUUUUUCUGGGUCGUUUGUUUUUGUUGGGAGAAAUUGCAGGUGCCGAUUGGGGAUGGAAUUACCAUAUGCAGAAAGAUUUUGAGUUGAACAAGGAUCACACGAAUGCACAGGAAGAUUCAUGGGGAGGUUCUUCUUCUGGUCCACACUUGUGGAAAUUAUUUCUUGCCUUUUUUUCUGUUCAUAAUGUGAUUAUAGCCAUGCUUCAGACUUUGAGAGAGAGAGAGAGAAGGAUAGAUAGAUAGAUAGAUGGGAAGAGAGAGAGAGAGAGAGAGAGAGGGCUUGACCAGAAGUCCAAGUUACUAUCAUUGUUAUUAAAAAGUAGUGAGAAAACAUCAGGAAUCAUGUUCUCCAUCAAUAAAAAGGUGAAGGCUUGAUAUAUUAUUAUUAUUGUUGUUGUUGACAAGUUUUGAGAACACGUCCAAAGCUUUAUUCACUAACAAAAGAAAAGGGCAAGAGUUUGACCAAGGAGUCCAAGAUAAAAGUUGACCGAAGACGCAGUGCGGGCCCCACAAGUCGCGUGGUUCGCUCCCCUCUGUUGACCCAGAGUCUUGGAAUAGUCAAGUUGAGUGCUCCAUGAAUGUGAAUGUGAGGACAAUGGAGCCGCCAUGAAUCUCCAAGGGAUUUGAGUGGUGCUCAUGUGGUCCCCACAACCGGCCACGUGGUGAGAUCUGGACUGCUCCUGGUCAAGCAGUGUGACGAAAUUAAAUGCUUGGCCCAUUCGCCGAUUUUCCCGGGUCACGUGACUGGCUCUUUGGCGGAUCCCAGCCGUCCAAAACUGAUCUCCGCAGAUCCUCGUCGCCCACGCCAGACCAAGGCGGGGCCCGCGCCCACGACUCCCCGACAGAAGCUUAAAGCGCGUGGGAGGCGGCUACGGACGAAGAUAAGUCACGGAACAAAAAGCAUGACUCUCUCUCUCUCUCUCUCUCUGUGAUAAAUUAUCCAUUUGUCCCUUAAAAAUAUUAUAUUUUCAUUAUACCCGUUGAGUCAAAUAUUUGUGUUCAUACGGGUCGGCUAUGGGUCAAUGCGUCCACACGCGGCAAUAGGAGUUAGUUUGAGGUGUUGUAAGGAAAGAGAAGGCUUUCUCAAGGGUCACAGAAGGCGCCUUCUUCGACGGCAUCUUCUUCCCCGGCGAGGAAGGAGUGGCAUAUCCGCUGCUGUCAUACUCGGAACUGGUAGAUAAUGGCGGCCUCCAAGGCGGCGGCGCCGCCGCCGCCGGUGGCUCCCCUCGGGUCUCCGUCCUCCUCCCCUUCCUCUCUCAAGCUUCUCCUCGUCGUCCUCCUCUCUUCCUUCCUUCUGGCGGCGGUCUCCGCGGGCGCGCCGGCGGCGAAGCUGCGGUUCGCUCGCCGGAACGGUGAGUUCAAGAUCCUGCAGGUGGCGGACAUGCAUUAUGCCAACGGCGCCGCCACGCCGUGCGAGGAUGUGCUGCCCGCCGAGCAACGAAGCUGCUCCGACCUCAACACCACCGCCUUCCUCCGCCGCCUCAUCCUCGCCGAGAAGCCCGACCUAAUCGUCUUCACCGGUAGAUCCUCUCUCUCUCUCUCUCGCUUUCUCUUUCUUUCUCUCUCUUCUGCAAAUUCCAUGGCUUCUCUGACCGGCAACGUCGCGGGGGCAGGCGACAACAUCUUCGGCUCCGAUGCGAACGACUCGGCGAGGUCGAUGGAGGCGGCGUUCGCGCCGGCGGUGGCGGCGGGGAUCCCGUGGGCCGCCGUGCUCGGCAACCACGACCAGGAGGGGAACCUCGGUCGGAGGGGGCUCAUGCGGCACAUCGCCUCCAUGCCGGCGGCGCUAUCGAGGGUCAACCCCGCCGGGCUGAGCUUCCCCAUCGACGGCUUCGGCAACUACCACCUGUCCGUAGCCGGCGCCGCGGGCUCCGCCAUGGCCAACCAGCCCGUCCUCAACCUCUACUUCCUCGACAGCGGCGACUACUCCUCCUCCGAUUUCUCAGUCUACGACUGGAUCAAGCCCUCCCAGCUGCUCUGGUUCCAGCAGAGCUCUGCCAAACUUCGGCGAGAGCACGGGGGCCCGGCGCCGGCGAUGGCCUUCUUCCACAUCCCCCUGCCGGAAUUUGGGAGUUUCGGGCCGGCCAACUCCACCGGGAUCCGGCAGGAGGGCAUCUCCUCCGCCGCCGUGAACUCGGGGCUCUUCGCCGCCAUGGUGGCCGCCGGCAACGUGAGGGCGGCGUUCGUCGGGCACGACCACCUCAACGACUUCUGCGGCGAGCUGGCCAGCGUGAACCUCUGCUACGGCGGCGGGUUCGGGUACCACGCGUACGGCCAGGCCGGGUGGCCGAGGAGGUCGAGGGUCAUCGCCGUCUCCCUGGAGAAGACGAUGGCGUCGCCGGCAGGGUGGGGCGGAGUGAAGACGAUCAGGACGUGGAAGCGCCUCGACGACCGGAAUCUCUCCACCGUUGACUCUCAAGUCCUCUGGACAAAGAUCUGAUCAAUUACCUCUCGUCAAUGGUAAGACUCUCUCUCUCUCUCUCUCUCCUCCCCCCUCUCUCUCUCUCUNNNNNNNNNNNNNNNNNNNNNNNNNNNNNNNNNNNNNNNNNNNNNNNNNNNNNNNNNNNNNNNNNNNNNNNNNNNNNNNNNNNNNNNNNNNNNNNNNNNNNNNNNNNNNNNNNNNNNNNNNNNNNNNNNNNNNNNNNNNNNNNNNNNNNNNNNNNNNNNNNNNNNNNNNNNNNNNNNNNNNNNNNNNNNNNNNNNNNNNNNNNNNNNNNNNNNNNNNNNNNNNNNNNNNNNNNNNNNNNNNNNNNNNNNNNNNNNNNNNNNNNNNNNNNNNNNNNNNNNNNNNNNNNNNNNNNNNNNNNNNNNNNNNNNNNNNNNNNNNNNNNNNNNNNNNNNNNNNNNNNNNNNNNNNNNNNNNNNNNNNNNNNNNNNNNNNNNNNNNNNNNNNNNNNNNNNNNNNNNNNNNNNNNNNNNNNNNNNNNNNNNNNNNNNNNNNNNNNNNNNNNNNNNNNNNNNNNNNNNNNNNNNNNNNNNNNNNNNNNNNNNNNNNNNNNNNNNNNNNNNNNNNNNNNNNNNNNNNNNNNNNNNNNNNNNNNNNNNNNNNNNNNNNNNNNNNNNNNNNNNNNNNNNNNNNNNNNNNNNNNNNNNNNNNNNNNNNNNNNNNNNNNNNNNNNNNNNNNNNNNNNNNNNNNNNNNNNNNNNNNNNUCUCUCUCUCUCUCUCUCUCUCUCUCUCUCUCUAGCUGGAUCUUCCUAACGUUGGCCGGAUUUGGUGGUGGGCGCUUUGGAAAAAGAAGGCUAUGGUGUUCUCCGGUGAGAUGCGGCGCCUGAUGGGGUCGCCGGCCGGCGAGGCGCACCCUGGCGCAUUCUCCCUGUUGACGUUCCUGGUUGUGGCCUUGCUCCUCUUCGCCGGUGCUCGGUCGGAGGAUUCCGUCCCCGGGGAGGGGGUUUCGGCCAUCCGACUGCCCUCGGAGGGCGGCGACGGCGGCGAACAUGCUGUCUGCGCGUCGUCGCCGGCGGCGGCGUGCCCCGUGAGGUGCUUCCGGCCGGACCCCGUCUGCGGAGAGGACGGCGUCACCUACUGGUGCGGCUGCGCGGACGCCGCAUGCGGGGGGGUCCGCGUGGCGAAGCUGGGGUUCUGCGAAGUCGGCAAUGGCGGGAGCGGACUUCUCUCCGGCCAGGGUCUCCUUCUCGUCCACAUCGUCUGGCUCAUCGUCCUCGGCUUCUGCGUCUGCUUCGGCCUCUUCUGAUCCUCGGCGGUAAUCCGGCAUCGUCUUCUUCGCUGUGAAACCCUACUCUGUGAUCCAAAGUUUUCUCGCACUCUCCUUCAAUAGGAAAAAUUCAUUGAUUCGUUUCCUGGGAAUGUAAUCACCCAACAGGACUGAUCCUGGUUCGUCGUGCUUGUGCUUGGCCAGAAAUCAGAGAAACCUAGAUUCUGGGAUUGAUCUGUUCAUAAACUGAGAUCUCCCGAUCUCCCCCUUGACUUUAUUGCACUUUGAAUUGUGAUCAACCCGCGUGUUUUUUUCUUCCUCUCAAACAAUUUCUCCGCCCGACACGGAUUCUUCCCGCGAUCUGACUUUGAAAGUAGGAAAACUAGAACAAUCUCUUCCAUAAUCCUCAUUUCUGAAAUGAUUACCAGCAGCUGUUCCAAAGAAUUCAUGUGCUAGUCUCCUCCGAACCACAUUGCUCGUUCUGAUUCCGAUCUUUCUGGAAACGCUUGAAACUGACCAAACAAAGGGGGAAAAAAAUUUCAUAUCUCAUAACACCAAUCUCUCAGCACACUGAGCCGUCCAUGAUCUCUGGAAGUACGAAGAACAGCAAUCCGAAGUCAUCGUCAUUUGGAAAUAUUCUUAAUCACGUAAUCUAAUAUCAUGAAAAUUAUUUUUUUCUAAACAAGAGCAUGAUUGGAUAUGAGGAUCCCUUGCUUACUUCACCGGAGACCUUACCUUGCUUGAGAUCGCUUGGCAUCUGUUCUUUCCCAAAUAAGCAGGUCUCCAUAUCUUAUGCUCGGGGGCAUAUUUCUGCUGUUUUUCUUUUAUAUGAUACUUAAAUUAGUGGAAGAUUAAAUUUUCUAUUAUGUCAACGCGUUGACUUUAAAUUCGAACCAGCUGUGGGUUUAGGGUUGUAGGUUUUAUUUGUUUGCUUUGGAAAACUUUUGAUUUGGAGCAGCAUUUCUAAGUUAAGACUACACAAUAGGUGGUCUCGGGCCUUAGAGUCGGGCUGCGAACACAGAAUUGGCCCGGCCCGAGGCCCGGUUUCAACGCUUCUCUCAGCCUUCCUCAUUGUCUAUCCAGCUCUGGCCUGGGCCCAUUUUCGGGCUUUUUGCGAAUCGGGCCUUUUACGGGGCCGCACAUUAUGUGGCCCGGUCCGAUGCUCCUAUGAGGGCUUUUCCAAUAUUUUCCAAUUGCCGUGUUUUGACCUAUUAUCGGCACGCAUAUCCAGGUCUCCCGCGAAGGUCAAGAAAGUAAUAUUUGCAAUUUCCAGCGCUUGGAAAAUGUCAGAAACAGGGAGGGUGCCUUGGUCGAUGGCGUUCUCUUGACCGUCCGAUCAGGCCUGGGUGUUGAGAGGGCACUUUCAGAAUGUGGAUCUCGAGAUGCGUGAAACCCGUUCACUAUGUGGGCCCGGGCCCACUGCGACCGAAACCCGUUCGCGAUGGCGGGCCCGAUCUGAUUGGUCAAUGUCUGUCCGGAUCUCGGCCCGAAGCCGAGUCCCCCCAUUGGUGGAGCUCCGGCCACGUCCACGACUCCGGACCGACCGGGAUUCUCACUAACGGUCUAAUUAGAUCCGGUCUGUUGCCAAAUGGGGUCCUGCCACGUAGAUGGGUCAAUUUUCGCAGUUGACUCUCUCUCUCUCUCUCUCUCACUCUCUCUCUCUCUCUAUCCUUUUUCGAUCCUCCCCUACCCAACGGUGGCCUCCCUCCCUCUCUGCAAGCUCCGGCGCGGCUCUCGCUCUCUCAUUAGACGAUCGACCUCUCCCGCUUCAGCACCCGCGUCGUCCUUCUUCUUGUCGUCGCCGUCGUUGCCCUGUUCGUGCAGCCGGCAGGUGGGUCUCUGCGGUCCCGUGCAGGGGAACGAGGGCCCGAUUAUUCUCCGGGGUUGAUCGGAGCGUCCUUCUCCUCACAGUUUUCGCCGCUCUUGCAUCGGGUUUCGUUCUUUGUUGCCUUCCUGGGUCUCUAUCUCUCUUGAAAUUUGGUCCUCCGCUCUUCUCCUCCUCUUUUCAUCCCUCCCACCCCCACUUUCCCACCGUCUUCCCAUUACUGCCCUGCAACUCCUCCUUCCGAUCAAAACUCAAGUACCACGUUGCAAAACAGUAGCCAAGUCAGUUCUCCAUCUUCGUCUGUUCCCGAGUUCUGCUUCCUGUUGUGAGUGCUUCGCUGGAAAUUUAGUGGUGAUAGAAUUGGGUUGAGAUCUCAGCUAGUGAUGCGUUUUUGUUGGAGUCCUUUCCUCUGCCAUGCAUAGAUACCGUCCUCUUAUAUGUCUUGCCUAGUCCUGGGGGAUGAUGAUGUUGCCCGCCCUCUUUCCAUCGAUGUCUAGCAAUUUCAUUCAUAUACUGGAAGGGAACCCGUCUUCUGAAUCAGUUUUCCUUGUAAUGAAUUCUUUUUUUCGUGAUAAACUUGCAGUUUUCAAAAGAAAAUUUCUACAGCGUCCUUAUACUGAUGUGAUCAAUUUUUUUAUUUUUUUAUUUAUGCUAAUAGGGGAGUCCAACAAUGGGUACCCAAAAUGGUGAGGAUUGUUUCGGAUGGGCAGCUAGAGAUGAUUCAGGAAUUCUUUCCCCCUACAGUUUUAGCCGCAGGUAGACAGAAUUACCUACAGUUUUAUGAUCUUUCCUCUUCGAUCUUUUCAGAGAAAAGGCAGCUGGUGACUCGGCAGUUCUGUCAUGCAAUUAAAUUAUCAUAAAAAAAUUUCUUCGGCAACCGCUAAAGAUUUCUUAAAGUGAACGAGAAAUAUCUUAAUAUAUGUAUUGACAUGCAUGGUCGUCGGAAACUGGCGUGUGUUCAUGUUCAUCAGUCUGAUCAGCAGCUGUAACAUUUAGACUGGGAAGUCAUCUUGCUAAAGUUCUUACCUCUUUUUACUCGGAAAAAUAUUCUAGUAUCAUAUUUUCCUUUUUUCUUUUCAUUUUUUGGUAAAUAUUUUCGAGUUCUUAGAGUCUAAUCUGCAUUCUCGUCCAUCUAGUACCUCAAAAAGGGUACUAGUUGAACCGCUUCCAGUGUCCGUAUUAACCCCAUAGAAGGGGGAGUCCUCAGGUUCAUGAAAUUCAUCGAAAAGGCACGAGUCAUAGAGAUUUUCUGCUCCUGGAAAAUCAUUCUUGGCUGCUUUGAUCUGAUGCUUUGAGGUUAAGAGCAGGAACUAUCACAGAUGUGGAAGAUCCAUUGCUCAAAUCCUGAUGAUCUGAAGAGAAACAUCAGAAAGGGAAUUUAGAGAGUAAAAAUGAACAGUUAGUCUGAUGAGAGCCAAAUGAUCAGGAGUAAAUGGUAAGAAUUGUGACUGCUUUACUUAGGAUUGAUGGCUUUUAUGAUUCUGGAAUUGGCUUAAAAUUCGGUCAAAAGGAAAUAGGGGUCACAGAAUUUAUUGCCAAUUUAAGCCAACUGAAAUUGGAUGCACGUGGGUAUGAUGAUUCCACGAGGUGAAGUUAAUUUUAAACCAAUGAAAAGGGGUCGUGAUGAUGAUUCACAUUCAAAUACUUGCUCCUUAUCCGUUGGUAUGUAUGAAUGCUGGGGGGCAGGGAGGUGGAUAGACAUGGAUUGGUCUUCGAGAAAUAAUUAACCAUUUUGAAUAAACAUGAAAAAAAAGAGACGCACUAGAUAAAUAAAUUAUGAGCACGCCUAAUUGAUAUUUUCAUCUAACCCCUCAAGGAGAUGCUUUUUGCCUUUUAUUUUUUACUGCAGCAUCUGGUGUCUCCAGAGUUAGCAUCACUGCAGCGUUGGAGACGCUAAUUGGCUUGUGACAUCAUGGAGCAUGUGUUGACUUUCAUGAAAAUUUCUCGUUUCGGUUAAGAAAUCAACAUAUUUCCUACUAUUUUCUAGAAGAAACAUAAUUAAUGCUGUCAACUUGUUGAAAAUUUUUAGAAUUCGAUGUUUUUUUAAGUUAUGCAUUUGCAUUAUUAAAGAAAUUUUAAUGAAUUAAUCCAUAUAUUUCUUGUUCUAAAAAUAUUGUAGGGUGUUGGGGCCUGACGAUGUGUCAGUAAGGAUAACUCAUUGUGGUGUUUGCUAUGCUGAUGUUGUCUGGACAAGGAACAAACUUGGAAAUUCGAUAUAUCCUGUGGUUCCUGGGUAUGUUUUCGAUCACAUCAUUGGGAAUUUUCGAGACAUUAUCCAAUAUCUAUCCGUUUGUGUGAUAAUAGACAGCUUGAGAGCUUGGAAUUCCGAAAACAAAAAUAUCAGAUCUGUCCUUUUGGCAAUAUAUUUAAUUAGCUGCGCCAGGAUUUAACGAAUAUAUUUAAUUUCUUUCAUAAGAGUUGGUUCGCUUAGGCUUCUCAUUCUUUAGUUUUUUUUAACACUGUUGAAAUGCUCCUUUUAAAACAGAAAAAAGGUUUUCAACACCUGCAUGGUAACAAGUACUGAACAUAGUACAAAUGAGAUACAAAAUAACUCCUCACAAAAGCAAUCAUUUUAUGAAUGGGAAAUUCCAAUCAUUAUGUGCACUUUUCAAUGGUGGAUGAGUUCCAUGAGUAUCCUUCUUAAGAUGGCAUCUCCGCAUGGAAAACGAGAGUUCCAUAAUUUGCUGAUUGUGUUAGAUGACAGGUUUCCAAUUCAUGGUGCCACUGAAGUUUAAAAUCCUGUGAGACGAAUAUCUUGUAAUAGAAUGUCUUUUCUUAUAUUUAUUGGAUCACCUAGCCUAAUAUUUAUCAUGCCAAAAAUGUAAACUGGUCUCAUCAAUGAACUUCUUGGGAACAUGAAAUGCAAACGGCUUGUCUAAUUUUACAGUAUGGGUUGUGAUAGGAACCAGAUCAAGAACUAUGAAUAUUUCAUAUUAGAUGAAGAACAGUCUCUAGAACAGAAGUAUCAAGAUAAAACAUAGUAAAAGAACUCAGAACAGAUAGAGGGUCGCAUACAACCCUAGAACCAAAAUAGAUGGAAGAUCGCAUACAACCCUCCAACCCCUUCUCAUCGAUGCAUGAGAUAUUAACUCUGAUUUCUCUCCCUCUCCUUCCUGAUCCGCCCUUCUUUAUAUUCUCCUUUCCCUCUCUUAUUUAGGCAGUUAGUCUCCUGCCAUAACUGCUCCUUGCCGUACUUGUGCCUUCCCUCAAUAAUAGUAAUUGUUAUUGACUUAUUGGGCUUUGGGCCUUCUUCCUUCUAACAUAUGUGCGUGGAGCCUUAUCAGGCUGCAUAAAGAUCUGGUCUCAUAGAGUGUAGCAGUAGAAAUAUUUUCUGCUCGAAUUCACAAGAUGACCCAGGCAUAUAUUUGAUCAUGAAAUUAUUAUUCAAUAUAUUGCAUAUACCUUGAUAUUUUAGCUUAAAAGUUACGUCUUCAUAUAAAUAUUUUAAUUCCAUUUUUAAUUUCCCUAAUAAUUGUUUUCUUGGAAAUUUAGUUGAGGUUGAGACACACAAAAAUGAUUUUUUAUUAUAUUCUUUAUUUUUUCAUUUUUAUUUUAUUUAUUGAUCAUGAAAUUGCCUUUCAAUAUAUUACCUACACUCAGGCUUCCUAUCUUAGAAAAAAAUUAUUUACAGUAGUAUCUUGUGGAUACUAUUGUUGAUUUCCAUAAUAGUAUCAUUCUAGACUCUCAUAGAAAUUGAUUUGAAUCAAGAAAUGCAAUACUUUAUUCGAUGUGAUUCUUAAUGUGACCUUCUGCAUCGACUACAUCAAUAAUAUUUCUUUACUAUGAAAAAAAAAAAGCAUUGCUUUAAAGCGUUUAGUCAUGAUCAAUCUGUUGUUCUCUUGCCUUUUCAAGCUGAUACUACCUGUCUUGGUUCUUCUUUGUCAAAGAUUAUGAAACGGAAAAGUUGACAUAAAUUUUACUCACUAGGCAUGAGAUCGUGGGCAUCGUGAAGGAGAUUGGACCCAAUGUCAAGACCUUCAAACCGAACGAUCACGUCGGUGUUGGAACGACUGUGAAUUCCUGUAGACAAUGCGAGUACUGCGACGAGGGACAUGAAGUUUACUGCUCACAGAAUGUCCAUACGUUUAAUUCCAUUGAUGUUGAUGGCUCAAUCACAAAGGGUGGAUACUCCAGUUAUAUCGUCGUUCAUGAGAGGCAAGUGGUUCCCAAUAGCUCAAUUUCGUUUUUGUCGAGUAUGAUUAAACCGCAUGUAUCAUAGAUGAAAAUCUACAAUAAUGUGACAGUCAUCUGUCAAUUUUCAUGCAGAAAUCCAUCUAUCCAUGAUGAAAACCUACAAUUAUUACUAUUUUUUUUUCCAAGGGCCAAGAACUCUCAGGGAGCUAUUUGGAUUUUUACUCUUUUUUUCUCAUUUAGGAAAUAGAACCAACAUUACCCUAAACUAGAAAAUCGCCACAUCUAAAAAGAAAACCAUUUCAUCGCGUUUCUGUAUUCAUGAAUAUUCAUUUACAUCCUGCUUUCUCUUUUUUUUUUUCUUCUUACGUGGGCGCAUACAUGGUUCAUCCUAUUUUCCACCUCUCUAAUAAUUAUAAUUAUCAUAGAAUUAUUUUUAAAUAUAUCUAAAUAUAAAAUCUCAACUUGCACCUAGUUAGCAAGUAGUGGAUCACUACAUGUUCUGCGUAAUAUUAUUGACAUUCAUAAAUCAUGUGUUGUCAGGUGAUCAUCAUUUGAAUGAGAAUAGAAUGUAGUUGAAAAAAACAGAGGUCCCACUCUAAUCAAUAAAGGCGAGAUAUUUUGAAAAUAAAUCAUAAAAGCUGCUGAUUUUGCGUAUCCAAGAACUUCUCUAAUAACCAUGAUGCCUUCUCUUUUGACUAUGCCAAGUACUUGUGAAGUUCAUGCUACUUUUAUUUCCCCUCUAAAGGAAAUUUCUUUAAAAAGGUGAGCUUUUUGGGAGAUAUUACCAUGAAGGAACGCACAGAUAUCCAUGGUUUUGAGGAAAAAUGCAUUCAAUCGGUUUCGUCUUGCCAACUAACUGAUCUCCCUAUUCCUAACUGACUUGCUCAAGAAUUGACAACUUACUGACUUGCUUGCUUACCUGCGUCCAUGGAUUCCAAAUUUACAGAUACUGCUACCACAUACCAGACGGCUACCCACCAGCCUUAGCUGCUCCUCUGCUGUGUGCCGGAAUCACUGUGUACAAUCCCAUGAUCCGCCACAAGAUGAACCAGCCAGGAAAGUCUCUGGGAGUCAUCGGGCUCGGGGGCCUCGGCCAUCUUGCUGUUAAGUUUGGAAAAGCUUUCGGCUUGAAGGUCACUGUUCUUAGCACUUCUCUCUCUAAAAAGGAUGAGGCCCUGAAUCUCAUCGGAGCGGACAGAUUUGUGGUGUCAUCCGACAAGGAGCAGAUGAAGGUGAGGUUUAACGCAUUCAUUAUUCUAAUGAUGGGUCAGCUCCACAUAGAUUUUACGCUUUCAUAAUGUUAUAUAGUUUACAGUUCCAGAUAUUUUUCAGAAAAAACCUUCAUUUAGAGCCUAGAAAUUAUCAUUUUUUUCACUAUUUUUGUUAUUUUUCGGCGGAACCAGAACCUGGGCAACUAUAAUUUUUAUAUCAUGAUUCCAUAUUGUUAGUCUAUUUUUUAUCCGAGAAAAAUCUGAUCAUUCCAAGUGAACUGUGUAAACGGGAGUACUCGCCCUUGCUCUCUGGUGCCAGGCUCUUGAGAGCUCACUGGACUUCAUCAUCGACACCGCCUCCGGCGACCACCCAUUCGACCCCUACAUGUCCCUCCUGAAGGUGCACGGCAUCUUCAUCCUGGUCGGCUUCCCAAGCGAAAUAAAACUAAGUCCCAUCAGCCUCAACCUCGGUACUCCUCCCUCAUCUCCCUCCCCUCCCCCAUUAGAAGAACCUGUGGCCGAUCUUCACUCUUCUCGUGGGGGCCCGCGGCUGUUGCAGGGGGGAAGACCAUCGCCGGGAGCAUAACCGGGGGAGUUGCAGUGACCAAGGAGAUGAUCGACUUCUGCGCCGCCAACAAGAUCUACCCGAACGUGGAAAUCAUCGGGAUUGAGAGCAUCAACGAGGCCCUCCAGAGGCUCGUUGACAAGGACGUGAAGUACCGCUUCGUGAUCGACAUCGAGAGCUCUCUGAAGACGCCAUGAUGGUUUUUUUUUCUUUUUUUUUUGCAUGGCGAGUAAAUAUUUCCAAUUAUAUUUCCUUGGAGCUGGGUUUCUUUUUCUUUUUUCUUUUCCCAGGAGUGCAAUGUCAAAAUCUUUGCUCGAAGCAUAAAAGAAGCUUGCUUUUCAUGAAAAUUCAAGUCUCUUUAUAUAAACAAAGGGAUUUGAGUAGAUGAUCAGAUGCGAUGGUUGUGCAUGAUAUGUAUAUUAUUUUUCUCACAAAGAUAAUAUUUUUGAAGAUGUAUGCAUGCAUGUAGAUUAAAAAAAGUUUCUUAUAUAAAUCUUUAUUCAUUUUCCGUCUAGAGUAUUUGCUCUUCAGUGAAUUUUUGAAAAAUUAAUUAACAAGGAAUAAUAAGAUACAAAUAAACCAUUUUGUGUAUGUAUCUCCUUGCUCGUUCAUAGUCUUUUGUAUUCAAUACCCAUUUUUUAUGCUUGUAAUUUUAAUAACUCAAAAAAUGGGGAAAUGAAAACUUAUGGAUAAUGGUCAUUUUUUUUUUGCGUUGGAAUUUUUCUUCAUUAAAACUGCAGAAAAAGUCCCCCACUAGAACUACAUAUUUACGAGGGGUAAUAAAAGAAUUUACCGCGAAGGUGAGAGGUUCUCGAGUCCUAACCGGUGCAACCGCUCCAGCCGACGGUCCGGAUCAUCCCGCCGGCGACGUGAGCCCGCCGAGUCCUCUGAGGAUGAACGGACGAGAUCCGAUCUCGGGGUCGGCCCUCAUUGCCUCCACCGCGCCGCAUGGGAACAGACACUUUUCCACCCCCGCCAGCUUCUCCUGCACGGCCGGCGACGCUACGAGCCUUCGCGUCAGCUCCUCCGCCGGCGAGCCCUGAGGAUAUAAAGAUGGUGAUAAUGGGAAAACCUGGGGAUGAGAGAGAAGCUCAGACUAGAGGGGACGACUUUCUCUCACCGGGGAGGAGGAGCCUGCGAGGCCGAGAAGCCCGAGUUGGGCCUGCAAGAACUUGACGUAGUUGCGUGCCGCCAGCAGCAUCUCGGCGGUGGUCAUCCUCGGGCCGCCGGGGAUGAGCUGCGCCAGCUCGCGGGUCUUCUCGCUGAUCCUCCGCCUGCGGAGCCUCGCCGCCACGCUCUGCGCCGUCGGGCAGGCGCUCGUCGGCGGCGCUACCGCCGGGCGAGCGGUGGCGCCCGCGAGAGAACCCGGAAGAAGGGCCGGGGGAGGAGGAGGGUCGUCCAGAAGGAGGCCAAGGAGUGCUUCGUCGAAGAGGAAGUCAUCGAGGAAGGGAAAGUCGGAGAAGGUGUGGGGGAGGAGGUCGCCGUGGAAAGGCUGGCCGUGCGCCCCCGCCGCCGUCGCCGCCUUGGAUGGUGGUGCUUGCAUGGGUACCCAGUCAGUGCGGAGGCUCACUGCCAUUGCCGAGGGGAGGAUGAGGAGUGCCUGAGAAGAAGGCGAGACCAGUAUUUCUCUAUGGAAGAAGAGAGUUAGAGUUAGAGAGAGAGGGAUUAGGAGGCCAGGCUUCGGAGAAAGAUCUCCUCUCUUUCUGUCCAAGGAGCCGGCUCCCUCUCUCUCUCUCUCACGCAUACUCUGCACUCUUCGAUCUCUCCUCCGUCUCGGGUCCUCUGUUACUCUCUCUCUCCCCGGCGCUCUUCCACUGACUGAGACGAAGAUAAAUAGGCCGGGAUAACGGCGCUAGAGAGAGAGAGAGAGAGAGAGAGNNNNNNNNNNNNNNNNNNNNAGAGAGAGAGAGAGAGAGAGAGAGUCCGGGUGUUUGGGGAGGUGGGAGCAGAACUAACCCAGACGCUGGGGGUAGUUAGGAUGAAGAUACGGACGCGUGCCAGGUCAACAAGCGUCGAAUGCAAGCUGGAAACCGUUCCCGCCCACUUCUGAUGCCCAAAUUCAUGCAUGCACGCAGGAGCAAGGGGAAGUAAAAACCUCAACAAAAAGGAAAACCACGUACUAGUAAAACGUUUUGUUACUAGUUUUGCACCCUCUUCUAUAAUACACCAUGUGAAAUAAAUGCACUUCCUUUGGGUCUCUCAUCCGUCUCUAAUUUAUCUAAGAUUUAUAUAUGAAAAUUUUUAAUUUCCUCAAACGAAUGUAAUUGUAUAUAUACAGUUGUCAAUGUCAAACAAAAAUAUGAACGCUUCAAGUUGACUAUGAAAAUUCCAAUUUUGAAGAGAAUCACCCAUGCAGAUAUGUUUAUUUCUUCCUCCUUUUUAUCACUUCAAAUGAUGCAAACUUCAUUAUAAAUAGUGCAAUGAUAAUUUCAGUAUUAAUGAGCUUAUGAUCACCAAAGAGAAUUAGUAUUGAUAUAUGCUACCCAUUUGUCCAUCAAUAUCAAAUGUGCAAUCGUAGUUAAUGAAGAUGUUGAGCCUGAUAGGCUGAUCUUUUUUAUUAUAAAAUAUGUAUAUUUUGUUGAUUUUUUUAUGAUUUUUGAGUAAAAAUGGACUUAUAGCAUAUGCCAAAAAAUAAUGAAAAAUGAAGGCGAUAAGAACAGAUUGAUCCUUCAAGCUUAUUUGCAAAUGAUGGAGAGAAUAGUUUAUUGUGUGUAAAACAAGUAGGGCUAAAAUAAAUUACUAAAUCUAGGUUUUGGGCAUAAAGGCACCAAUUAGUACCAUAAGAAUGGAUCUCUAACGAGAGAGUGUCAAACCUUUACAUUAAGUUGGAAAUUGGCAUCAAGUCAUAAAUGUAGCCUAAGUUGGAACAAAAACCUGAAAAAUUUGGGACCAAUAUAGCUGUAUAGCUGACAAAUUAAUUCACAUGUUUACUUUUGAACAAUAUAUUUCAUACCCUUGAACAAGUUGGUGUUUUUCAAUUAUUACAAGGUUGAAAAUUUCAUUUUAGUUGUAUAUAUGCAAGUUUUAUGGUUCUAUCUUGUCAAAACUGGUGUUAGAAGAAAGAAACAAAUUAUUUUUCUAGUUAUUUUGAACUAAAUUAAGUGUUUACUUUGUAUGUAAUUCAAUAUUUUACACCACAUAGAGUGCUCUAAAUACUUUGCUGAAUUUUUAGGCUGGUCAAUCUAAGCAUCUUAAUUUGUCAUCAACUAUGUUGAAAGUUACAUGACAUUUAUUUACUUUACAUUUAGAUGAGUUUCAAAAACUUGCUAUUAAUCAAGGCUUGUGGUAAUGUAAAAAAAGAGGCCUAAGUUACACCUUGUAAACCAACUCAUAAAUGAGAUCAAAUGAAUCUAAUACACUAACAUGUGUGGUGUUAAUUCCCUUGGUUCAACAUCUUAGUUUGACACCAUGCCUUCUCUCAUAAAACUUUGCAUCUGAUAUGACCUACAAAGGAUGUAGAUAGUAACUAUCUACUUCAACGUAUCUUACUUUCCGAUCUAACAGUCCCAAGUAAUUUUGAGUUCCAAAUCCUCAUAAAAAAUUUGCAAAAUCAUUUUACAUUUUAGAGGGAGAGAGAGAGUGCUAAUCUGAGUUCAGUGGCAUUCCUUCAUAGAGAGGGGAACACCGUUUAAUCAGAAAGAAUGAUAUGUGCCAUAUCUCAAUCAUAGCAUAGAUGGACAUGUAAACUCCUCCAUGUGAAUAAUGUGGAGCGACGGCUUCAACAAAGCCCACCAAAAGCAAGAGGUUGAAGCAUCUCAAUGAAACACAUUAUACUCGGAAGCGAAGCCAACAGCGAAGUGAAAACUAUCUUGAACAAUAUCUUGAAGCAAUCACGUGGUGGUGGUGGUGGUGAUAGCUGAUGAGAGAGAAAGGGUAAAUCCUCACCUAAUUUACCAAAGAAAAUGGUAACUGAAAUUUUCUUAUUAAUUUUCUUAUUCUUGGUGAUUAAUUCACACACAAGAAUUUAAAGUGAUUUGGUCAGUCAAACAUAGUCCAGUCUUGAGAAUGUCUGUAGUUUCUAUCAAGUUCCGAGUAAAACACAUUGAACUCCCACUAAAUAUAUAAUCCUCAAUAAGCCUAUGUGUUAGACUAUGUGACUCCAAUGACCAACCACCGAAUAUACAUAACUCAAUGAGCUUAUGUGCUGUAUUAUUCUUUAAUGAUCAAUCACUGAAUAUGCAGGCCAUCAAUGAGCCUAUGUGCUGAAUCAACUUUGAAAAUGACGAUUGUUUCUUACCAAACCAGUUCAAAUUUCCUUAACUUGAAAAGUUCUCUUUUAAAAAAAAAAUUCAAGGAAGCCCCAAAUGUAGAGUAGAGUCAUUUGAUGGCUCAAGCAGGAUUAUUCUCCUCCCUCUUUAGGUAUCAAAGGAUGGAAAACUUGUUUUAACAUCUUGGAGGUGGAAGAUGGGGGCAUGAUUAGCUCUCAGAUUUUUUUCUUUGUUUUAGCUCAAACCGUAAUCCAGAUGAAAAACCCUCUUUUACACACCCUAAUGAGCUGCGAUGGUCAUCAUAAUGCCUAGCUGAGCAAUCUUUAUUAGCUGCAUAUAAAUAUUAGUACUAUAAUUUUUACAACAAUUCAAAAUCUCCAUCUAAAUUUUGAUGAGCCGAUUGUUAUUGUGUUCCUCUUUUAAUAAGUGGCCAGAUGCUCUGUGUCACCAUUUUCGCAGCUGGAAAUCAUCUUAAUCAUAUGAGUAGAUAAUAUGGUUAAUUAUACCAAUGAACAAUUUUCGCCUGAUUUAAUUACGUGAUUUAAUUCAGGGCAAUUCACAUAUUAAACAUAAAAAGAAAUUAUCAUCCACAGAUUGCCAAAUUGUCCUUUGUCAACAUCAAAAAUCUGUGAAGCUAUCAAACCCAACAAGAUUGAAUUCCAAUGGGCCUACAAAAAUACAAAAUUUUGGACAGCUACAGAUCACAAGAGGAAGAGAAAAGCUCCGUUGUUCUGACCCUCUUGCUGCCUCCCAGAGGAACCUGAAGAAAUAUGGAUGCCAUGGAGGGCCAUUUAUGGUGCAAAGAAGCUCUCUUUUCUUAACCAAAUGGGGAAAAUCUUCGCUCCUCUUCCUAAUCUUGGUUCUUCUUGAUGGGGCUCUGGAGAGAGAAAACCCUUCCCUCAUCAGCGGCCGCAUUAAAGGACCCAAAUGACUGGCUCUGGCUUCUCACUGGCGGCGCCGAGCUCUCCCCUCUGCUGUCAUCUGAGCUCUCUGACUGGGGCAAUGCCCCCGGACCGCCGCCAGGGCCACUGCCGACAAGGCUCUUGUAGAUGGACAGCGCCUGAGCGACCAUGGCAGAAGGAUGCCCAGCCGAACUAGGGAGCAGCAAAGUAGUGCCCUGUUAAGGAAACAGAGUGACAUUAAUUACCAAUGGUUCUAUAUACAGGGUUGUCCCAUGGUUUGCUCUAAACUAGGGGUUUAUAAGGAUUCGUUACCUCCUUGGCAAUAUUUCCAAAUGCCUUAAUAUACUGCUCCGCAAUUCUCAAACUCGCAGCCUGUCAGGAGGGGCGCAGAUGAAGUUGACUUUGAAAGCAAUAAAACGGAAAUUCUAAAAUAACUGGAUAUUUCCAAAGUCUAAAAUACCCCACUUCUCUUCAUUAAAAAAUAUCGCUGUAUUUUAACUUAGUUUCAAAAAAUGCACAAUAAAAUCGGUAUUCUUGACCAGAAUGCAAGCCAAGGUUCUGCAGCAUACCUCGCAUCCUCCAUGCUGUUUUAUGGCUUCUGAGAGCAGUUUAAGACCCUCGGCGGUGGCCUUUGACUUGGCUAGAAUAGCUUCGGCUUCUCCUGAUAGAUCACAAAAAAGGGGGUUGAAAGAUUGUUCAAGUGCCCACACAGAAGUUUGCCCACAUGACUGCGUACCACUUUGUAUAAGAUGGUGGCAAUGGACAGGCUGAACGAUUGAUGUUCAGAAGGAAAAAGGCAAGUGCACAGAAUUUUUGGUGAAUUGGUCUACUACAAGCAUGAUCAUAUGCGUUCAUCAUGAGUAGAGAGUAGAGACACACUGUAAGACAUAGAGAGAGAGAGAGAGAGAGAGAGAGAGAGAGACCUCAUAUAGUUUUCAUAGAGUGAUGAUCUGUAUACAGUCUCCAAACAAAUGAAUUUGGCACCUGACAAGAAGCCCAAGGUCCCAAAGUCACUUUCAGUGUCAUCACAGAAGUUGAAUGGAUCACAUUAAUACGGGAUCCAACCAACAUCUCAUUUUCAUUGGCCUCAAGGUCUGAGGCAAAGCCUCUGGUGUUCCCCUCACCAUCUCCACGCUUUCCUCAUAACAUGAGAAAAUGACAGGCAAUAUCUUCUCCAUGGAUCUUUAUGGGUCAAUUAAUGAUGCUCAGCAAGUCUUCAAAAGCAAACGACAAAGAAAAAGUGACAACAGAAGGACUUCAAUUCAUUGUGGUCUCCGGUGCUUCUUUUAUCUCCUCAACCAGGGCUCUUCUAGCCAGCGUCAAAGUCAUAUAGCUUUAGCAUGCAUGAAGAUUCUACCAUAACACUGAUUUACCCUCCAGAAGAAUUUAAAAUUUCACAGAGGAUGAUAACCCCAUUUUAGACCCAUUUCGAGAAAUAUAAAUUUUUCUGGUGCUAGAGAUUUUACUAGCAAAUGGAAUCAUUACCUCUCGUCACUGCUGAACAAUUCAGCCACAUUUAAAGUAAUAGCUCGUUCCUAGAAGCACCCCCCAUGGUUCUAAACCUAAGGAAGCAUUUGAAGAACUUGCAAAUAAAUCUAAAGAAGAUCAACAGCUCAAGCCAUGGUUCGCUGUAGUAUCAUGAUCAUUUAGUGGUGAUGAUGCCAACAGAAAAUCACAAGAGUCUCAAGAAACCGAAGUUUGACUGAGGUGACAGAAUAAAAUGCAGCAUAAUUCUUGCUGUUGUUGAUCGAUGAAUUAACCUGGAGUCCUGUGCACAGUGCCCCGUGACAAUGCUGAAACUUGAAAACCGCAUGUUUAGUAUGAGGCCAGAACUUCUAUGUAACCGAAUCCUUUUUCCAGGCAGUCAUAAAUUCUUUAAAAGAACUAUCAUUGUUUAUUUCUAUAGCAGCUGAAACAAAUUGGAAGCCAAUCACCACUGAAAUUCUCUCUCAUAUUUGUUCGCCUAUUUUAUCUUCCUCCUCUUUCCUAACUGGAUCUUCAAAGUUCUUGCAACCAGCAUUUUCCGCUCCUUCAGUGACCUUCAUCCUAAGCUUCAAGAAUCCCAGAGUCAAGCCUGAUCCCAAAGGAAAUGACAGAAGCCUCAUAACACCAUCUCCUGACACUGUAAAACUCAAAGGGCCCAGACUAGCUCCACAGCACAAAAUCCAGAUUUGAGAAAGAAAGGGAACGUGUGAAUAAUUUGAAAGAGGAUGAGAAGGCCAGAACAGGGGUCACAGAGGAAGAAGUGGAAGGAGAGUCAGAAUAGCGAAAAAAACUAAGGGAAAGAAGGGAGAGAAACUGUAAAGGAAUAAGAAGAAAGAGAAGAAGGAAGACCAGACGCCACCUGCCAUCACCACCACUUCCUACUCUUUUUUUCUUCAUCCUCCACAACCCUAAUGCCUUAGCUCCCUCUGCUACUGAUGCAUCUAUUUUUCUCCCUUACUUUCCCUCCAAAGUCUGAAAACCAAUGAAAAAAGCCAAAUCAAGGUUCAAAAGGUACCCUUUAGCAUCAAAGUCGAAAAAAAUAAUUGUGCCACCUUUCUAGGGAGUGCGCUGAACAACACAAACUAUUCACGAUUAGAAGGCCAUUAUAAAAUGGCCUUCAACUGAAGGCCGUGAAGCCCAAAAUCAGUACAGCCGCCGAACCCAAAAAUGCACAGGUCAUCAAGUCAGAUGAUGCCCUUUUAACCCAGUCAGACACAAGUAAUUUUGGCUUUUUCCCUUUGUCUGCAUAAGCUUCAAGGAAUAGCAUAGGCUCGGAAUGGGAUUGGCCCAAAGGAAUCUAGGUCCACGGCAUAAAACUGGACAAGCCUCUCCUGUAACGCUGCUAAUACGUCAUGGCCCAAAGGAGACAUGUCAACACAUCAAAUUCUCCUCCACAGACAGAUAUAAAGUACCCACGAAAUUUCAAACCAGAAAACAGGGUAAAAAAGAAUUUGACAGCGAAAUAAGAGAACAAUGGAGUCUAAAGAGUGAAAGGAUUCUGGAGUCUCGAACUGUUUUAAGGACUAUGGUGUCUAAAGGAUGAAAGUGGCAGGUCUGUGAACAUCAAGUGAUAAUGAACUAGAGAAUGAAACAAGAAAAAUUGCAGUCUCUCGAACUGUUCAUGAAAAUGUAGUGCAAAUGUAAGCUCCAUCACAGUUACUGAACAUCGACCAAGACAUACAUCCUGUAACGCAACAAUAUUUGCCUUGGCAAAACAGACGUGCCAAUAAAUGAAUCACGAUACCAAACCAAAGAGCAUGUCUUCAAUGUAUUAUUUCUUGGAUGGAGCCAUACAUAUACACAUAGAUAUGCAUAUGAGUAAGGCUAUAGAAAAACAAAAGAUUCCCCAGUCAUUUUAACCUAGGAUAUCUCAGACACAAAUUUUGGAAGACAACACCACACCAGUAAGCCAAAUUCACUUUGAUUUCUCACUUGGAAUCAAGGGAUAUGGGAACCGCAUGCAAAUAAGAGGACGAGCAGAAGUUCGAUAAGGGUCAUGAUAGGAAAUAGGGAUCUGGAGUGCCAAAAAUACCACAUAAUUAGGAGUAUUGGACCCAAACUGUUCACAGGUGGCUAAGGGAUAGUCUUCCAUUCAAGUCUCUAUUUGCGUUAACUACAAGAGUACGAGAGACCUUGUAGAAUAGAAAUGGCCAGGAUUAGAACACGAAGAUUAGAGGAAGUUCUAACUUGACGAACUUAAGAACAAAGGAAACAGAUAGCGUAAUUAGUCUAGUGUCAAAUUAAUAAAGGUUUUGAUUAGUUAAUAUAGUUUAUGAAGAUACAAAAAAAUAUGUUUGGAACGAAAAAAUAGGCCAGUGAGUAUGAGAUAAAUCGUGGCUUGGGAAAAGAAACAAUGAGAUAACUGUGCCAUCUUGACUAGCUUAGUUUUUAUGCUUUAUCAAUAUUUUAUACCUCCCAAAUGAAAUGUUGGUUAUGAUGAAUAAAAUGUAUGAAUGAGCAAAACAUGAAAGCACAAUAGAUUAAAAAGAAUUACAGGAUAAACAUCACAAGAACAUUAAUAAAUAUGCGAAAAACAUAUUAAGAUGAGAGAUAAAAUGAAUGUAGCUUGAACUUGAACAAGGCUAGUUGGACAUAAGAUACUAUGAGCUGGGUUGACUAUGAAGAGCAUAACAAAUGAUAACGUUGAAUAAAGAUAAACAACACAAGGGGUAUGAUGAAUAUAAUGAACAGAGAAAUAAAAGACGAAAAUUAAGUAUGCCGAAAGAAGGAAAAUCAUUUGACCCAGAAGCGAGGGAUAGAAAAGUUAUUAUCCUGCCAUAAACGUGUUCUCAGGACGGGUGCCAAAAAAAGAGGUAUAACGAGAAAAAAGUUAACGAUAGUUUAAGCAAUGAAUUUUGGUAAGGAUUCCAUAAAAGGAGAUCAAACUGGAUCAAUCACAAAAAGCAUAGGCAUAGACGGAGAAAGCAGAAUCAUAGGGGGAGGCUGAAGCAAAAGCAAAAAAGGGAUUGAAUGAAGGGAGCAUCUUGUCUUCUGAACUGGUUGAGAGGUAGAAUAGAGUUUUUGAGCCCGCUAUAAUCUUCACCCAUGAGGGAUACCAAACUCCUGAAAUAGCUUGAUUUCAAGGCAAUUACAUGGAUUUUGGAAAACAUAAAUCGAGCAGCAUUUAACGAUCCAUCAUAGCAGUUUCCCCUCCGGUUUCCGGGGGGGUUGUUUCAAACCGAUUUAUGCUGCUCGCCUCUCCCUGAGGCCAAGGGGUCAACCAGUCAUUCCAGGAUUCGUAGUCCAAUGCAUUUCAUUCGGUUACAGAGCCAACCAGUCAUUCCUCCUCCCUCUUUACUUCACCAGACUCAGUUGGCUUUUUAAGAUUUUGAUUUGAUGAUAAUAGAAAAUAAAGGGUAUAAAUUACAAAAGGAAAGAUUGUGAGACAACAUCUAAUAAAUCGAAAAGAAUAGGAAAAUCACCUUUGGCUCUAUUCACUUGAUCCAUCAUUGCAGCUUCUGAUUCCAAAAUCACAGCACUUUUCUUACCAUCAGCAAUAUUGAUGUUUGACUGCCGCUCUCCUGGAAAACAAUGGUCCAGUUACAAAAGAAAAAUCCACAGAAAAGAGAGAAUGUAUCUACCCAGAACAGAUGCCCAUAUAUAUCUGGGAAAUGGGAAAAGGAGCACUUCUUAAUUGUAAGGACAUCAUAGACUUGAUGAAGAAAAGUCACCUUCAGACUCAAGAACCUGGGCCCGUUUCCUACGUUCUGCUUCUGCUUGCAUCUCCAUCGCUGCCUUAACACCUGGAGGAGGAGAAAUGUCCCCUGCACAAAAAAUUCAAAUGGUAAUGAUACAAACAAUAGGCACUACACUUUCAAUCACACCAAAAAGAUGAGGGGAGGACCUACGUAUCUCAUAGCGUAAGCACUGCAGCCCCCAAUCAGUAGCAGCUUCAUUAAUUGCUUUCUGCAAGCAAACAAAAAACUUUAGAGUAUGGAAGAAUAUCAAACUAUUUCAAAUGAAAAUUUGUAAUAUUGUUAAACUCAAUAGAUUUAUGGUAGGACAUUCUCAGUCAACUUGACUUCUUUUAUAAAGGUGACACAUUUUUUGUGAAAAAAAUAAAAAUAUCAUCAACAAUAUGUUAAUAAUCCAAACUUCUUCUAAGAUGCACUUAUUAUCACCCUAGUUUGAAUAACAACAUCCUAAAUGACAGCAUGCAUUUGCCAUGGAGAAAAAAUAAAACCGUGUCCACGAAGUUACUGACCUUGGCUCAUCUGUCUCACAUUUUCUCUCUAUUUGCCAUAAAUAAAAAUCUUUGGUAGAAUUUACAUUCUAAAUAAUGAAAUAUGACUAAAUGCUAUGACUUUAGGGUGAACUUUGUAACCAUUUUUGAUUUUCAUUGGGAACAUUUGGCUCUUGUUCAGAAUUAAGUUAAUGGCCAAUAAGUUUCCAGGAUGAUUGAUUUCAUGAAAAGUGGAAGCAGUCUGAUAUCACUUAAUUCCAUGAAAUACACUUAGAACAGUCUAGAGUACACGAUCUCUAGAAAGUAAGAACGGUAUUGGGAUCCCUGAAGCCUUAAAAUCCACUAAUCAAGCACAAACAACCUAGCACCAUGAUCACUCAUACCUGGAGAGUAUAUUCUAGAUGCAGAACGUUAAGUCUCACUCAAUGUGAUACAUUUAAUUAUAUCAAGUACAAAAAGGGAAAGAGCACUAACCACAAUGUUCUCAUUAAGAGUAUCUCUCUCUGAGAAGGUCUUGUCCAGCGUAAUCUUCCCCAGCUCACUCCUCAUGGUAGUCUGGGCAAGCUUGAUUACUGCAAAGAUGGGAUUCUCCACACCAUAAGAUGCCAAGAACGGAUCAACAAUCUGCCAAAACCAAUCAAACGUCCAAACAAUAAUUUAUCAAACUUUCGAAUAGAAUAUACGAUCUCUAAAAAUUAAAAUAAUAUAUGGGAGAGAGAGAGAGAGAGAGAGAGAGAGAGAGAGAGAGAGAGAGAGAGNNNNNNNNNNNNNNNNNNNNNNNNNNNNNNNNNNNNNNNNNNNNNNNNNNNNNNNNNNNNNNNNNNNNNNNNNNNNNNNNNNNNNNNNNNNNNNNNNNNNNNNNNNNNNNNNNNNNNNNNNNNNNNNNNNNNNNNNNNNNNNNNNNNNNNNNNNNNNNNNNNNNNNNNNNNNNNNNNNNNNNNNNNNNNNNNNNNNNNNNNNNNNNNNNNNNNNNNNNNNNNNNNAGAGAGAGAGAGAGUAAAUGCCUUGACGUAGAGGACGCCAUCGAUAAGGAUGCUGACAUUGUCCUUAGUGAUGGCAGACUGAUCGGGAAUGGGUAUGGCCUCCUCCUUGAGGGAAUGGACAUACGCAAUGCGGUCAACCAUAGGGAUUAAUAGGUGGAUGCCCGAGCCCAGAGUCUUGGAGUACUUGCCGAACCUCUCCACCACAAACGCCUUCUUCUCCGGCACAAUGCGGAUCCCCCAGUUGGUCGGCGGCGUCGGCUGGUGCUCGAAUCUUCCACAAAAAGCCCCAUUCAGCCCUCACGAGGGGAGGCAAAACACACGAUCGAAUGAAGAAACAGAAUCGCGACCGGCGACAGAGGGCGCCGGGAGGGAUACCUGGAGGCGGAAUCCUCGCGGCUGCCGCGGUAGUGCCGGACGAGGGAGGGAGCGCCGACGUUGCUCAAAUAAGCGUUCGGCUGGGCUCUCCGGAAGAUCAGCUCCCCCCCGGCGGCCGCGGCGGGCAGUAGCCGCUCAAGAGAAGCGCCCACCAGCGUGGCCGCCCGGAUCGACCUCGACGUCCUCACCGCCAUCAAAGCAGCCGCCAUCCUGAUAUCCCCCUCUCCCUCUCCCUCUCCCCGAGUCUCCAAGCAGACGAGGAGGACGACCCACUCUUGCUCUAACGCUGCCUCGCCCUCCCUUGCCAAGAAAGUAGAAAAGGACCUCUCUUGCUCCAAUAUUGCCUCGCUCUUCCUUGGGAAGCAAGCACAGAGGGGGGGCGUCUCCGGCGGGUCUCCAGAAGGGUAUAAUCUAAUAAAAGGAACCAUUCUACGUACCUUUUUCAGAAUUAUUAAAAACCUAGGGGCUUAUCCUCAAGUAGGAAAAUAUCACGUGGCCGUCAUGAGUUCAUCCACGUGGCACCAUAAGCCCUAACUUUGCAAUUAUUUUGCCACUAUUAAAGUCGUGAUCUUCUCUCAUUUCCGGAAAGAGAGAGGGCGUUUUCAUCAGGAUUAUUUGACUGGUCAGUGAAAACAAGCUUGGGUCAACUAUCUUGCGAGAUCGCCGCCCGAAAGUCAACAGGCUUCGUCCACCUCUCUUAUAUUUUGUCAACGUGGGAUAUAACCAUUUUAAAAAUCACGGAUUGGUGUUAUUAUUAGUAUAUUUGCUAUUUAUUCUCGCAUCACUGGAUGAGCUGAAGCUCCCACUCCUUGCCCCUGUUGGCGGCCGGCGCCGCCCACACCCUGUGGCUCCUCCACCGUCCUCACCGCCACCGCCGUCUCCUCCCUCUCCAGCUCGCUCUCUUCCACCGCCACCGCCUCCGCCUCGUGACCGGCGGCGCCGUCGUCCGCGUGCUCGACGAUGACCAGGUGGACGCCUGGGUCUUCGGCGGCGCACUUGCCGUCGAGGAGCACGGAGUUGUUCACGGCCUGGUAAUUGCUGUUGGCGACGGCGCCGUCGCCGACGAGGGCGGUGGGGGCUUCUUCCUCGCCCGCCAUGGUGGCGCCCUUGUUGGUGCCGGAGAGCGUGACGAUCCUCACGCCACCGCCGCCGUCGCCGCCGCCGCCGGCGGGUCGGCGGAGGUCGCCGGUGAGGGCGGAGAUCAUGGAUUGGAUCUGCGGCAGGAUCUCCUUGGCGUGGAGGGCUUCCCCACCGGGGCUGAUCAUGGCGCGCUGCUGCAGAGGUCGCCGGAGAGGGCGGCGGUCCUAUUUAUGGCGUCGUUUCCGAGCUUUAUGCGGGGAAUAUGGAGUGCGGUGAGCUGCAAGGAAAGAAAGGAAUGGCAGCUGGGAAGAGGCGAACCCGAAGAAGACGAGGAUGCAGACCUUUCCGCCUUGUGGGUUCACAGAGGGAGACAAGAGAAGAUAGAUAGAGAGAGAGAGAGAGAGAGAGAGAGAGAGAGAGAGAAUAAAGCAGAGCUCAACGCGAGAAUUGAGGGGAGAGAGAGAGGAGGGGGGGGGAGAGACAAAGGGUGCAGAGAGAGAGAGAGAGAGUCCGUUAGUCAUGUCUUUAUCUCUCUAGGAACCCUUGCUUCUUUCAUCAGAAAAGACAGCAAGAGCCGAUCAUUUAUAAAAAAAAGUUGCUCUUUUUUCUUAGAAGGAAAAAAACCCUAUUGCGGGUAAUUAACAAUAAAAGAUAUCUGCAGAUGAACAAAUAUUAUUAUCAAUAACAACAAUAAAAUAUACUAUUAUAUGCUUUAUAUCACAUAUAUUCACAACAUCAAAUGACAUGGGAACUUGGCCAAGAUUUUCCUUUCCGGGUGGGAUGUUGGGUAAAUUUGUAUAAAAAACGAUUCACCUGUAAAUCUCUCUCCUCCUCCGUUUUGUUCGUCUGUAGAAGUGUUCUUAGAGUGGCUGUGGUUGCCCAUCAGGACGGCGGCGGCGCAUCUCUGAUCAUCCUCUGGUGCACAAUCCUCCGCGUGUUCCACUCGCUGCGGCACUGCAGGGCAAGACGGAGGGCGGUGCCGAGCCCCAGCAGGAUGAGGGCGCCUGCCAAGCCGCCAGAAGAUAACAUUCGGAAAGGCCCAUCGCCAAAGGGUAGCAAGUAUAAAUGAGAAAAUAAAUAGCGAGUUUCUCGAUAAAUUUUACUAAGAUUCUGGGGAGGGGGAAACAAAUGCACAGGCUGAUGUUGGCUCGGUGAAGGUUAAAUUUAUGAGAAAAAAAAUGGUUUGAUGAAUCGGUCAUUUCCUAAAAAUAGUUGAUGUAUCGAAAAAAAAAUAGCAAAUUUAAGGUUCAAGAUUUAAGGUUUAAGAAGAUAUUAGGGAAAAGCGAAAAAUAACUAUCUUAUUCUUGGCUGGCUUGAUAUGUGGGGGGUCAUUCCCCAAUAUAUGAUUAAUCAAAAAGAGAACAUAAGUAUGGAGGUUCAUGCUAGCUUGACAAAUCAGUGAUUCAUUUAAAAUAGAAAGUAAUAAAGAAAAUAGAUAUGGAGUUCUAUGAGGAUGAUUUAUUCGGUUCUGGAUAUUAUGCAAGAGAGAAGAUUUCCGAAUUACAGCACAUGCUUCAAAAUAACCCGAUUGGGACUACUCUGAGCAUGGGCCAUCCGACCCAAAAUAAAUUGACAAUGAGCGAGAGCAGGUCCUUGUUCAUAAUCACAUUGAGUAUUUCUAUAAUAGCCAAUUGGGGUCGUCUCCUAAAAUCGGCAAGUGUAUGUGAACAUUAAUAUGAAGUUUCUAAAGAUGGAUAGCAAGGUUUCAGACAGCCGGACAGUAAUUCUAGACUUCCAUCCCAAGUCCAAUAAUGACGAGUAAGAGAGAGAAACGCAAUGUGGAAGAGCUCCAAGAGCAUACCAAUGAUUAUAUUGACGGGCAGAGCAGAGACGCCAAAGGAAACCGAUACGAACACAUCCAACAGCAGCCCACCAAUCAGAAUGCAGAAGGCGAACCAUAUUGGGCUGAAGCCUCUCUGUUGCGAGGAUAAGAACACAGAAGGGGAAGUUAAGAGGGAACCCAAGAUCUGCAUGCUGCAGCGUGCAUAGCUUGAUAUGGAACAGAAUAUGGAUAAGAUCACCAUGAUGGUUAUAUGAAAGAAUGGGCCUUAUGGUAAGAAUAGGCCCUGUCUAAGUACCCUUUCGUUUUCUGGAUUUCCCACGUUUGAAAUUCCAUAGGCUGGAUCCACCCUCCAAAUCCAGUAAUUUGUCUGUUCCACGAAAAAAAUCAGAAGCACUUCAAUUCCAUGAUAGAAGAAGAGGCCGAUAAUCUGAAGAAAUGGUGCCAGUAGGUUCAACUUUUGGAGCAAGCUGACAGUUUUAGUGCCAGUCAACACAAUAAAUUUGAGCAUUGUAAAAUGAGGAAGAAAAAUAUAGUAACAUUGACUGUUUUUGUAUUAUUUUCAUUACCACUUUAAAGAGUAAAAGAUAUAGUUUCCUGCCAGGGUUCCACAAAGCAUAACAUAAUUCCAAGGAAUUGCAUACAAUGAUCCUCAGACAACCAUUGCAGCUUAUGAAAGAACUUACAGCAGGGUGAGGCUCUGGUGAUGGGACAUUGACAGCUAUCUGCCUGCACGAAAGGAGUAAAUAGCAUUAUUACCACUGUAUGUUAGGCCACUGUCUGAAUUCCCUGAGAAUCCCUUAAGAACUUACUGGCAUAUCUCGCAUUUAUUUGAACCUCUUGUGCCAAACCAGGUUUCAAUGCAGGAUUUGUGGACCUUGGCCAACUCACCUCGGCAUCCACAUCCAAGAUCCAUUAGUGGUUCAUCUGAUAGCUCCUGGCAGACUCUGGCAGGUAGCAUGGCGAAUGGUAAGUUUUUGGCGAAGAUCAAGAUGGGCUAGGGUAACCUCAUUCAAAAACCCACAGGACAAGCAAGCUAUCAAAUCAUAAUUUGUCCGCCAUAUAUUCUUCACCAAGCUACGAAUAGCCCUCUGGGCCACAAUGGAUCAGUAUCAUGGUGGUCACUAUUUUCAUCUGUAGCCGUAUCAUGCAGGCUGUUAUUGCUGCAGCUAACCUUCAUAGCUGGACAGACGCUCGAAUAGUUUUCACAGUAUAUAGCAAUGAUAUAAACCGCUUGUACUGCAAUUGGCAAUCAACAGAAGAAAAACUAGAUAAUGAUACACCAAAAUGAUAUCAUAACUUCAAACAUGUAGAUGAAAUCCAAGAGGAUAUUGAUGCCAUCAGAAAGAUCUUAUUAUGUAUUUCUCAAAAUCUUGGGAAAUUUGGCUAUAGUUAGUGCCAAACAGCGCGUUGACUAAGAGUUCUUCAGGUUCUUCAUGAUUAUAAAAACGGCAUAAUUAACAAUAAUGGUGCCUCUGUUUUUUUUUGCUGCUUCCUAUACUUGAUGGGAAGCACCUUGGAUUUGUAGCCCGCUUGUAACAAAGUGAUUUAUUUCCUGAAUGCAUCAGAACUAUAAAGAAAAUAAAUAGCUUCCAUGGCGGCUGACGUUGAAAAAAAAAACCUGUCCUCCAAUAGGAAGUGAAGGGAUUCAGGAAGAAAAAAAUAAAAGAGCGCAGCCUGAAAAAAAGAGCAGGAUCCUCAUGCUUAGAGAUUUUAUUUUAAAAAGUUUAGUUUGACUUUUUUCGUCCCUUUUAAAUUGUAUCAUAUCCACAAUGAAUAGACAGACCAACAGCUAUUCAUGAGAAACAUUUUCCUAAGCUUCUGCCGCUAAUCUUUCAUAAUUUAGCAUUCCAAUAUACGAGAAUUAUGAUCGUACCUGGUUGUAUAGUAACAUAGAUCGGGUCUUUCAAGAGGAUGGAACACGAGAGUAGAGCCAAUCUUACCUGCAUUGAUCUUGGUAGCUGUCACUCCUCGUCACGGCUAUCUUCACCGCAGUCAUUUCCACCACCGUACACCCAUCAUCUCUAUCGGCGGUUGCGAUCGUUCUAUGUUUCUCAACAUCCAGCGCUGCGGCGUCAAUCGGCUGCGUGACAACGACGCUAAGCAACUGGUCCGCCGAGGCGGCGGUGGCAGAAGCAGGAGCUCCAUCACCGCUGCUGCUGACGCCGAUGCACCCCUCAUGUUGACCAGAUUUCCCCUCCGGCCGCACACAACCAUCCCCUCCAUUCGAAGUCAAAUUCGAACGAGAAGCCAACGUCUCCCUGACACCCUGCCCUUCUGCUUCGCCCGACUCCACAUCCUUCAUCGAUCUUACUUCCUCGGCCUUCAACCUGGCCUCCCUCAACUAAAAAAGUCGAAUUAAAAGAAUAGAAAAAAAAAUCCCAAGGUUCUGCUCCUUGUUUCGCUUCUUCUCAACAAUCAGAAGCCUGCACGCGAAACGAAAACGAUUGAACUCUUCACACCGACACCGGCAGAGAAAUCGGGAGAGACGCGCUGGCGAUUCAGAAACUCCAAAAGAAAUCAACGGCCAGCGGCAGGCUGUGGCAGAGAUGCAGAGAAGCGAUAGAGAGAGAGAAAGAUAGAGAUUACCCAGACAACGGAAGGCCCAACGUGUGGCCUCCCAGCCAGUCCCCGGGGCUAGAUGCCGGAUCUCCACCUCCAUGUUAGCCUUCCCGUUGUCUCCGUGGCAAGGAAGACGAACUAUCUACAGGGGGGAGAGGGAGAGAGAGGGAGAGGGGUAGAGAGAGAGAGAGAGAGACGUCGCCACCCGGACCGUGUGGAAUCGCAUGGCUCCGUUUGUCGUCUUCAAAACGUGAAGUUCAUUUCAUAACUUAUCUAUGAAAACUAUUCAUAAAGUCUUCAUUUUUAUUAUUUAAAAAUGACAAAUAUUUAGUGACGUCAAUCACCCGGGCUCAAAAAAAUCUACACCCUAAAAUCCUACGAAAUCAUGCGACAUAUAUAUAUAUAUAUAUAUAUUAGCAAAUACUUUUUGUCACUUGAGAGUAAUAUUAAACAAAUAUUUAGGAUCAUCAUAGGUUUUUAUUUUUAACGUAUUAUUUAUUUAUUUAAAAAUUUCACCCCUAAUAAGCAUUUGGAUGGUAAUUGGGUCUGUAAACUAAAUCAAGCUGAGAUUUAUGUAUACUUUUUGCUCCAUCUUAAAAUAGUUUCUAAAAUUACCAAGAAAAAUUGGGAUUGUGCACGAACCAGGUUUUUUAAAAACUUCGCGCCAAAAAUAUAAUAAAGCCAUGAUAUUAUAAUAAAGCCAUUUUUCUCCGUAUUAUAAUAAUUUAUAGAUUUACCAAAAAAUUUGGGGUAGUUCAUGAACCAUGCAUGUAAAAAAUUUAGGACCAAAAAUAUAAUAAAAGUCAUGAAUUUCGUUAGAAUAUUUGUUUAAAGUAUCUCUAAAUAAAUAAUAAAUAGAUAAAUAGAUAGAGAUAGAUAGAUAGAUAGAGAGAGAGAGAGAGAGAGAGAGAGAGAGAGAGAGAGAGAGGACCAGGCUCAAAUAUAUUCUCGUAAAAUAAAAAACAAGGUAUUUGAUUCCAAACCCAAGUCUGAAUCUAAUAAAUAUCACAUGGGUUUCCGUUUGUGGAUAUGAUGUGCGGCCACGUCGCCAUCUGAUGAGCGAUGAGAGAGAAACUUUGUGCUGGGUCUCUCUUGACGGCGGGUUGGCUGCUACCAGCACAGAGAAGGCCACCGCCACAGUUCACAAAGCACAGCAGGAAUCAACCACUGAGACUGAGUCAGGUUACGAGAACAGGAAGCCCAACGGGCGAAAAUGAGGAGGGGUGUUAGGGGACGAGGCGGCAGCCAACGGUGGUUUUUUCACCUCGCAUUCACAGGGCGGCGGGCGGCGGGAUUUACAGGGCCGCCGCCGCCCCCCCCGCCACCGGCGAGAGCUCCGCUAGACGGCGCGGAUGCGGAUGGGGUUGGCGGAGUUCACGCUUGACCCGGCCGGGGAGGAGCUGACGUGGAAGGCUGACUGCCGGUCGGAACCCCUCAACAACUUGAGCGACAGAGACGAGGGCGGCGGCGGCGCCGCCUCCGCCAGGCUCAGCUUCGAGAUGCCGACGAGCUCCUCCACGUUGAUCGGAGCCUUAGAGUGAACCGCCGUCGGCCUCACGAUCUCGUGCGUCUCCUCAUCCUCCUCCUCCUCCGCCGCCGCCGCCGCGUAGCCGGUCCAGUAGGGGGCGGAAACGGGGAAGAAGGGGGAGAAGUAGGCGGGGAACACCACCGGGUAGCACUGAGGAUUCUCUGGUUCUGAAACCUUGUUGGAGUCCUCUUCCGCCGGAGCAGCCGCCGGCGGCGGAGCGCCGGCGUCCUCCAUGGCUUCCGG